rnacentral:rRNA from 1 species
UACAGAGGUCCCAAGCGUUGUUCGGAUUCACUGGGCGUAAAGGGUGCGUAGGUGGCUUGGUAAGUUUGAUGUGAAAUCUCCGGGCUUAACCCGGAAAUGGCAUUGAAUACUAUUGAGCUGGAGGUUUGGAGGGGGGACUGGAAUUCUCGGUGUAGCAGUGAAAUGCGUAGAUAUCGAGAGGAACACCAGUGGCGAAGGCGAGUCCCUGGACCGGUAUUGACGCUGAGGCGCGAAAGCCAGGGGAGCAAACGGG